rnacentral:rRNA from 1 species
AACGAACGCUGGCGGCAGGCUUAACACAUGCAAGUCGAGCGCCCCGCAAGGGGAGCGGCAGACGGGUGAGUAACGCGUGGGAAUCUACCUUUUGCUACGGAAUAACGCAGGGAAACUUGUGCUAAUACCGUAUGUGCCCUUCGGGGGAAAGCUUUAUCGGCAAAGGAUGAGCCCGCGUUGGAUUAGCUAGUUGGUGGGGUAAAGGCCUACCAAGGCGACGAUCCAUAGCUGGUCUGAGAGGAUGAUCAGCCACAUUGGGACUGAGACACGGCCCAAACUCCUACGGGAGGCAGCAGUGGGGAAUAUUGGACAAUGGGCGCAAGCCUGAUCCAGCCAUGCCGCGUGAGUGAUGAAGGCCUUAGGGUUGUAAAGCUCUUUCACCGGUGAAGAUAAUGACGGUAACCGGAGAAGAAGCCCCGGCUAACUUCGUGCCAGCCGCCGCCGUAA